rnacentral:rRNA from 3 species
AGAUUAAGUUAUUAAGGGCGCACGGUGGAUGCCUUGGCACUAGAAGCCGACGAAGGACGUUACUAACGACGAUAUGCUUUGGGUAGCUGUAAGUAAGCGUUGAUCCAGAGAUUUCCGAAUGGGGGAACCCAGCACGAGUUAUGUCGUGUUAUCGACAAGUGAAUUCAUAGCUUGUCAGAAGGCAGACCCGGAGAACUGAAACAUCUUAGUACCCGGAGGAAGAGAAAGAAAAAUCGAUUCCCUGAGUAGCGGCGAGCGAAACGGGAAGAGCCCAAACCAAUAAGCUUGCUUAUUGGGGUUGUAGGACACUCUAUACGGAGUUACAAAGGAAUAUAUUAGACGAAUCAUCUGGAAAGUUGAAUCAAAGAAGGUAAUAAUCCUGUAGUUGAAAAUAUAUUCUCUCUUGAGUGGAUCCUGAGUACGACGGAGCACGUGAAAUUCCGUCGGAAUCUGGGAGGACCAUCUCCUAAGGCUAAAUACUCUCUAGUGACCGAUAGUGAACCAGUACCGUGAGGGAAAGGUGAAAAGUACCCCGGAAGGGGAGUGAAAGAGAACUUGAAACCGUGUGCUUACAAGUAGUCAGAGCCCGUUAAUGGGUGAUGGCGUGCCUUUUGUAGAAUGAACCGGCGAGUUACGAUCUGAUGCAAGGUUAAGCAGGAAAUGUGGAGCCGUAGCGAAAGCGAGUCUGAAUAGGGCGUUGAGUAUUUGGUCGUAGACCCGAAACCAGGUGAUCUACCCAUGGUCAGGUUGAAGUUCAGGUAACACUGAAUGGAGGACCGAACCGACUUACGUUGAAAAGUGAGCGGAUGAACUGUGGGUAGCGGAGAAAUUCCAAUCGAACUUGGAGAUAGCUGGUUCUCUCCGAAAUAGCUUUAGGGCUAGCCUCAAGUGAUGAUUAUUGGAGGUAGAGCACUGUUUGGACGAGGGGCCCCUCUCGGGUUACCGAAUUCAGACAAACUCCGAAUGCCAAUUAAUUUAACUUGGGAGUCAGAACAUGGGUGAUAAGGUCCGUGUUCGAAAGGGAAACAGCCCAGACCACCAGCUAAGGUCCCAAAAUAUAUGUUAAGUGGAAAAGGAUGUGGCGUUGCCCAGACAACUAGGAUGUUGGCUUAGAAGCAGCCAUCAUUUAAAGAGUGCGUAAUAGCUCACUAGUCGAGUGACACUGCGCCGAAAAUGUACCGGGGCUAAACAUAUUACCGAAGCUGUGGAUUGUCCGUAGGACAAUGGUAGGAGAGCGUUCUAAGGGCGUUGAAGCAUGAUCGCAAGGACAUGUGGAGCGCUUAGAAGUGAGAAUGCCGGUGUGAGUAGCGAAAGACGGGUGAGAAUCCCGUCCACCGAUUGACUAAGGUUUCCAGAGGAAGGCUCGUCCGCUCUGGGUUAGUCGGGUCCUAAGCUGAGGCCGACAGGCGUAGGCGAUGGAUAACAGGUUGAUAUUCCUGUACCACCUAGCAUCGUUUUAAUCGAUGGGGGGACGCAGUAGGAUAGGCGAAGCGUACGAUUGGAUUGUACGUCCAAGCAGUGAGAUUGAGUGUUAGGCAAAUCCGGCACUCUUAAGAUUGAGCUGUGAUGGGGAGAGGAAAUUGUUUCCUCGAGUCGUUGAUUUCACACUGCCGAGAAAAGCCUCUAGAUAGAUAAUAGGUGCCCGUACCGCAAACCGACACAGGUAGUCAAGAUGAGAAUUCUAAGGUGAGCGAGCGAACUCUCGUUAAGGAACUCGGCAAAAUGACCCCGUAACUUCGGGAGAAGGGGUGCUCUUUAGGGUGCAAGCCCAGAAGAGCCGCAGUGAAUAGGCCCAAGCGACUGUUUAUCAAAAACACAGGUCUCUGCUAAACCGUAAGGUGAUGUAUAGGGGCUGACGCCUGCCCGGUGCUGGAAGGUUAAGAGGAGUAGUUAGCUUCUGCGAAGCUACGAAUCGAAGCCCCAGUAAACGGCGGCCGUAACUAUAACGGUCCUAAGGUAGCGAAAUUCCUUGUCGGGUAAGUUCCGACCCGCACGAAAGGCGUAACGAUUUGGGCACUGUCUCAACGAGAGACUCGGUGAAAUCAUAGUACCUGUGAAGAUGCAGGUUACCCGCGACAGGACGGAAAGACCCCGUGGAGCUUUACUGUAGCCUGAUAUUGAAAUUCGGCACAGCUUGUACAGGAUAGGUAGGAGCCUUUGAAACGUGAGCGCUAGCUUACGUGGAGGCGCUGGUGGGAUACUACCCUAGCUGUGUUGGCUUUCUAACCCGCACCACUUAUCGUGGUGGGAGACAGUGUCAGGCGGGCAGUUUGACUGGGGCGGUCGCCUCCUAAAAGGUAACGGAGGCGCUCAAAGGUUCCCUCAGAAUGGUUGGAAAUCAUUCAUAGAGUGUAAAGGCAUAAGGGAGCUUGACUGCGAGACCUACAAGUCGAGCAGGGUCGAAAGACGGACUUAGUGAUCCGGUGGUUCCGCAUGGAAGGGCCAUCGCUCAACGGAUAAAAGCUACCCCGGGGAUAACAGGCUUAUCUCCCCCAAGAGUUCACAUCGACGGGGAGGUUUGGCACCUCGAUGUCGGCUCAUCGCAUCCUGGGGCUGUAGUCGGUCCCAAGGGUUGGGCUGUUCGCCCAUUAAAGCGGUACGCGAGCUGGGUUCAGAACGUCGUGAGACAGUUCGGUCCCUAUCCGUCGUGGGCGUAGGAAAUUUGAGAGGAGCUGUCCUUAGUACGAGAGGACCGGGAUGGACAUACCUCUGGUGUACCAGUUGUCGUGCCAACGGCAUAGCUGGGUAGCUAUGUAUGGACGGGAUAAGUGCUGAAAGCAUCUAAGCAUGAAGCCCCCCUCAAGAUGAGAUUUCCCAACUUCGGUUAUAAGAUCCCUCAAAGAUGAUGAGGUUAAUAGGUUCGAGGUGGAAGCGUGGUGACACGUGGAGCUGACGAAUACUAAUCGAUCGAAGACUUAAUCAAUUU